rnacentral:rRNA from 1 species
UGGGGAAUAUUGCGCAAUGGCCGAAAGGCUGAGGCAGCGACGCCGCGUGGGGGAUGAAGCAUUUCGGUGUGUAAACCCCUGUUGCCCGGGACGAACAAGCGAUUUUGAUCGUUCUGACGGUACCGGGUGAGGAAGCACCGGCUAACUCCGUG